rnacentral:tRNA from 1 species
UCAGCUAGGUAGGGUGGGCGGUUCGGCCCACCAUCGCCCGGAAUGCGAUGAUCUGCCCGCAGGCAGAUCGUCGCAUUGCCGUUCAAACAACGGUGUGGGCCGGAC